rnacentral:rRNA from 1 species
CUAUACAUGCAAGUCGAACGCUUCUUUUUCCACCGGAGCUUGCUCCACCGGAAAAAGAGGAGUGGCGAACGGGUGAGUAACACGUGGGUAACCUGCCCAUCAGAAGGGGAUAACACUUGGAAACAGGUGCUAAUACCGUAUAACAAUCGAAACCGCAUGGUUUUGAUUUGAAAGGCGCUUUCGGGUGUCGCUGAUGGAUGGACCCGCGGUGCAUUAGCUAGUUGGUGAGGUAACGGCUCACCAAGGCGACGAUGCAUAGCCGACCUGAGAGGGUGAUCGGCCACAUUGGGACUGAGACACGGCCCAAACUCCUACGGGAGGCAGCAGUAGGGAAUCUUCGGCAAUGGACGAAAGUCUGACCGAGCAACGCCGCGUGAGUGAAGAAGGUUUUCGGAUCGUAAAACUCUGUUGUUAGAGAAGAACAAGGAUGAGAGUAACUGUUCAUCCCUUGACGGUAUCUAACCAGAAAGCCACGGCUAACUACGUGCCAGCAGCCGCGGUAAUACGUAGGUGGCAAGCGUUGUCCGGAUUUAUUGGGCGUAAAGCGAGCGCAGGCGGUUUCUUAAGUCUGAUGUGAAAGCCCCCGGGCUCAACCGGGGAGGGUCAUUGGAAACUGGGAGACUUGAGUGCAGAAGAGGAGAGUGGAAUUUCCAUGUGUAGCGGUGAAAUGCGUAGAUAUAUGGAGGAACACCAGUGGCGAAGGCGGCUCUCUGGUCUGUAACUGACGCUGAGGCUCGAAAGCGUGGGGAGCAAACAGGAUUAGAUACCCUGGUAGUCCACGCCGUAAACGAUGAGUGCUAAGUGUUGGAGGGUUUCCGCCCUUCAGUGCUGCAGCUAACGCAUUAAGCACUCCGCCUGGGGAGUACGACCGCAAGGUUGAAACUCAAAGGAAUUGACGGGGGCCCGCACAAGCGGUGGAGCAUGUGGUUUAAUUCGAAGCAACGCGAAGAACCUUACCAGGUCUUGACAUCCUUUGACCACUCUAGAGAUAGAGCUUCCCCUUCGGGGGCAAAGUGACAGGUGGUGCAUGGUUGUCGUCAGCUCGUGUCGUGAGAUGUUGGGUUAAGUCCCGCAACGAGCGCAACCCUUAUUGUUAGUUGCCAUCAUUUAGUUGGGCACUCUAGCAAGACUGCCGGUGACAAACCGGAGGAAGGUGGGGAUGACGUCAAAUCAUCAUGCCCCUUAUGACCUGGGCUACACACGUGCUACAAUGGGAAGUACAACGAGUCGCAAAGUCGCGAGGCUAAGCUAAUCUCUUAAAGCUUCUCUCAGUUCGGAUUGUAGGCUGCAACUCGCCUACAUGAAGCCGGAAUCGCUAGUAAUCGCGGAUCAGCACGCCGCGGUGAAUACGUUCCCGGGCCUUGUACACACCGCCCGUCACACCACGAGAGUUUGUAACACCCGAAGUCGGUGAGGUAACCUUUUGGAGCCAGCCGCCUA